rnacentral:lncRNA from 1 species
AGCGCGGCCGUCCUGCAGCCCGGAGGUUGGGUGGUGAUUGCGCCCAGCGGGGCACCUGUCCUCCGUGAUGAGGGAAGAAAUAUCCUGAGGUCUGUCUCUUCAUCACACUGUUACUGCAGAGGCUAGAUCUUGCAUAUUUUUCUCCCCUAAGUAAGAAAACUUGGCUUGCAGCAUUCAUAUCUUUCACUCCUUUUUGUUCUGGGUCGUAUUGCGUGUGUAAUUUUGGGUAUUUGCACUGGUUACAGCUGGGAAGCAUGUUUGAUUUACAACCCUCUACUUAGAUGUGUGUGCGUGUGAUUAAUUUUGCUUGCUCCCAGAUCAGAGAUGAUUUUAAGGCAGAUCCAUUUGUGUAUUUACACCCAGGAACUUACAGUGGAGAUCUGCAUUAGGAUCUUUUACAGCUAACAAUUGGUUAAUUCCUUGUUCAGUUGUUCAAGUUCAAGUUGGAACAGCUGCCCAGAGGGGCUGUGGAUGCCCCUUCCAUCCCUGGAGGUGUUCAAGGCCAGGUUGGAUGGGACCAUGGGCAGCCUUUUCUGUUAUUAAAUGUGGCAGAGGGGUUGGAGCUUCACGAUCCUUGAGGUCCCUUCCAACCCGGGCCAUUCUGUGUGAUUCUGUGUGAUUCAUGGCUGGCAUGUUGUUAGUUUGCAGUGAGAAAUAAUCACUUUCCUAACCACAAACCAACCAAAUGAGGAACGCUCUGUUGGACAGCAGGCAGUGUUCUGAUCUUCACAUGCAUUUGCAUCCAAAAAAAGUAGUGCAGCAAUACCAGCCAUCCUCUUACUGGACUAAAUCAUUGUCUGCAAGGUCUGCUCUGACCCUUCCCACCUGCCUGCUCUUGGGCAUACCCUGCACUGCUGCCUUCUGCGUGGAGAAUCAGAACAGGAUGCUUUCCAUGCCAUGCACAGCCCAGGACCCAGCAGGAGCUCUACCACCUGCCCGGCUCUUCUUCACACAUCUCCCAGGCACUAAGUGGGAAGAACUGGAGGUAACACAUUAAAUGAAGCGUCUCAUAUGUAUAUUUCAGUUUGAUCUAAAAAGGGAAUUGAAGUCUGUUGUCUGAUGCUGUUGCUUAACAAAGUGUGUUGUUGGAGGCUAAGGAUAAGCUGUGUUGCACCCAGACUUGGAUACUCAGCUCGUUACCAUUCGUUUGCAAAGCUCCUAACAGGAGGUUGGCUGUGUGUCUGAAAGCUGUGCUGCUAAAGGUAGUUCUGGGUGUAAAUGACAUUGACAGUACACAGAACUGUGAGGACUUCCUCCUCUUGUUUUGGAUAUGACGUAAAACAACGUUUUAAGGAUUCUGUAUGCCUUUCCUGCAUCGAACAACGCCUUGGUUUGCAGCUGACAGAUGCGAAUGUCCAUCAGAUGAGGUGGACGUUUGGGCUGACGCAAACUUCAGUUUUCACAAGCAGGACAGAUGGAAAGUUCUCCUAUUUGCAGAUCUGAGAGUUCUCUGUGUAUAGUAUGUUA